ACCACCGUCUUUUCGCGCCGGCAAGACAAAAAAAAACUGUUCGUUUGAGGGUUGGAGAAGCCGCGGCGGUGGACUUUUGAGCGGGAGGUAGAAAUGCCCGGUGCCGUUGAACGUAACGAGCGAACUAGCACCCCGUCCAUUCGGGCGAAAGGGAAUCUGGUUCCUAUUCCAGAACCCGGUUGCGGAACCGCACUCACGAUCCUCGUAUUGACACGGUAACGUGAAAGACCCCAGAGAAGCCGUCUGGAGCCCCGGGAAGAGUUUUCUUUUCUGCCUGAGCGUUCGGGUUCCAUGGAAUCCUCUAGCAGGGAGAUAUGGAAUGGAGCGCGAAGAGCACCGCAGUUGCUGCGGUGUCCGGGGAGUCCCGUCGGUCCUUGAAAAUCUGGGUGAGGGUCACGUGGAGGCGCCGCACCGGCUCGUACCCAUAUCCGCAGCAGGUCUCCAAGGUCAAGAGCCUCUAGUCGAUAGAC
rnacentral:rRNA from 1 species